rnacentral:pre_miRNA from 1 species
UCAACAACAAAGUUGUAUAACUCAUCAAGAUCUAUAACUUUUAUUUUGGUCAUUUCUUCAUCCGACAAAGUGAUAGUAACAUUGUUCACAAAACUCACAUAUCUCUCAUCUGGUUUCAUAAACUAUAACGCAGAUAUGUAAAUUUUGUGAACAAUGUUACUAACACUUUGUCGGAUUAAGAAAUGUCAAAAAUAAAAGUUAUAGAUCUUGAUGAGUUAUAACAACUUUUUUUGUUGA